GAAGAAGAAGAAGAAGAAGAAGAAGAAGAAGAAGAAGAAGAAGGGGAGGAAGAAGAGGAGGAGGAGUUUGGAUUUGAUAUCCCGCCUUUCACUCCCUUUAAGGAGUCUCAAAGCGGCUAACAUUCUCCUUUCCCUUCCUCCCCCACAACAAACACUCUGUGAGGUGAGUGGGGCUGAGAGACUUCAAGGAAGUGUGACUGGCCCAAGGUCACCCAGCAGCUGCAUGUGGAGGAGCGGAGACGCGAACCCGGUUCCCCAGAUUACAAGACUACCGCUCUCAACCACUACACCACACU